ACCAACUCUCGAACAAACGUCAUGAUCUGCCGCCACAGCACCAUGCUCUACUGUGAUCACUUCUGGUAUAACCAAGGGUGUUGGGGCCGGAGAGGGUGUUUGACCUUGGGAUGCAGAGUGCUGCUGGGCCAUUGAGGAUGAUGCUUAGUACUAACACAAACAAGCGAGAAAGACACCUUGAGAAUGCGGAUUGCCUUAAGGGCUU
rnacentral:lncRNA from 1 species